ACGCUGGCGGCGUGCUUAACACAUGCAAGUCAAGGGGGCCCGCAAGGGUAACCGGCGAACGGGUGCGUAACACGUGAGCAAUCUGCCUCGAUGUGGGGGAUAGCCGGCCCAACGGCCGGGUAAUACCGCAUACGCUCUCCGGGUGGCAUCACCUGGGGAGGAAACAUUUUUGGCAUUGAGAGGAGCUCGCGGCCUAUCAGCUAGUUGGUGGGGUAACGGCCUACCAAGGCUUCGACGGGUAGCUGGUCUGAGAGGAUGGCCAGCCACAUUGGGACUGAGAUACGGCCCAGACUCCUACGGGAGGCAGCAGUGGGGAAUAUUGCGCAAUGGCCGAAAGGCUGACGCAGCGACGCCGCGUGGGGGAUGAAGCAUUUCGGUGUGUAAACCCCUGUUGCCCGGGACGAACAACUGGUUUUGACCAGUCUGACGGUACCGGGUGAGGAAGCACCGGCUAACUCCGUG
rnacentral:rRNA from 1 species